CACGUAGGGGGCAAGCGUUGUCCGGAUUCAUUGGGCGUAAAGAGCUCGUAGGCGGUUCGAUAAGUCGGGUGUGAAACCUCCAGGCUCAACCUGGAGACGCCACCCGAUACUGUCGUGACUAGAGUCCAGUAGGGGAGCGUGGAAUUCCUGGUGUGAGCGGUGAAAUGCGCAGAUAUCAGGAGGAACACCAGCGGCGAAGGCGGCUCACUGGACCGGAACUGACGCUGAGGCGCGAAAGCGUGGGGAGCAAACAGG
rnacentral:rRNA from 1 species